rnacentral:rRNA from 1 species
CGGUGUUCAACUGGCGUGCCCGCGGGACGUCCUGCCGGUGAGCUCAGCCCGCGAGGGCGGCUCAACUUGAAAUCCCAUCGCGGUGCUCUUCAUUGAGUGUCGAGGUGGGCCGGCACGAUUACUUUUGAACAAAUUAGAGUGCUUAAAGCAGGCUAAAAUUUUGCCUGAAUACUGUGUAUAUGGAAUAAUGGAAUAGAACCUCGGUUCUAUUUUGUUGGUUUUCGGAACCCCGAGGUAAUGAUUAAUAGGAACGGAUGGGGGCAUUCGUAUUGCGACGUUAGAGGUGAAAUUCUUGGAUCGUCGCAAGACGGACUAAAGCGAAAGCAUUUGCCAAAAACGCUUUCAUUGAUCAAGAACGAAAGUUAGAGGUUCGAAGGCGAUCAGAUACCGCCCUAGUUCUAACCAUAAACUAUGCCAGCUAGCGAUCCGCCGACGUCCCUCUGAUGACUCGGCGGGCAGCUUCCGGGAAACCAAAGCUUUUGGGUUCCGGGGGAAGUAUGGUUGCAAAGCUGAAACUUAAAGGAAUUGACGGAAGGGCACCACCAGGAGUGGAGCCUGCGGCUUAAUUAGACUCAACACGGGAAACCUCACCAGGCCCAGACACUGGAAGGAUUGACAGAUUGAGAGCUCUUUCUUGAUUCAGUGGGUGGUGGUGCAUGGCCGUUCUUAGUCGGUGGAGCGAUUUGUCAGGUUAAUUCCGAUAACGGACGAGACUCUGACCUGAUAACUAGACGCACUUGCGGCAUCUCAAAGGUCCGCCGGCGGCUGGCUUUGCGCCCGUCGUCGCGCGCGAUUUUUACUGCCGGCGUACAAUAAAUUCUUCUUAGAGGGACAAGUGG